CCGACCUGCACGAAUGGCGUAACGACAGCGGCGCUGUCUCCACCCGAGACUCAGUGAAAUUGAAAUCGCUGUGAAGAUGCAGCGUUCCCGCGGCAAGACGGAAAGACCCCGUGAACCUUUACUAUAGCUUUACACUGAACGUUGAGUUCGUCUGUGUAGGAUAGGUGGGAGGCUACGAAACCAGGACGCUAGUUUUGGUGGAGCCAUCCUUGAAAUACCACCCUGAUGUGCUUGACGUUCUAACCUAGAUCCGUAAUCCGGAUCGGGGACCGUGUAUGGUGGGUAGUUUGACUGGGGCGGUCUCCUCCCAAAGAGUAACGGAGGAGCUCGAAGGUACGCUCAGCGCGGUCGGACAUCGCGCACUGUGUGCAAAGGCAUAAGCGUGCUUGACUGCAAGAUCGACGGAUCAAGCAGGUACGAAAGUAGGACUUAGUGAUCCGGUGGUUCUGUAUGGAAGGGCCAUCGCUCAACGGAUAAAAGGUACUCCGGGGAUAACAGGCUGAUACCGCCCAAGAGUUCAUAUCGACGGCGGUGUUUGGCACCUCGAUGUCGGCUCAUCACAUCCUGGGGCUGUAGUCGGUCCCAAGGGUAUGGCUGUUCGCCAUUUAAAGUGGUACGCGAGCUGGGUUCAGAACGUCGUGAGACAGUUCGGUCCCUAUCUGUCGUGGGCGUUGGAGAUUUGAGAGGGGCUGCUCCUAGUACGAGAGGACCGGAGUGGACGAUUCCCUGGUGUUCCGGUUGUCACGCCAGUGGCACUGCCGGGUAGCUAUAAUCGGAAGCGAUAACCGCUGAAAGCAUCUAAGCGGGAAGCGCGCCUCAAGAUGAGAUCUCCCGGAGCACAAGCUCCCUGAAGGGCCCAGGUAGACUACCUGGUUGAUAGGGUGGGUGUGUAUCGCAGCAAUGCCGAGCUAACCACUACUAAUGACCCGUGCGGCUUGAUCAU
rnacentral:rRNA from 1 species